rnacentral:rRNA from 2 species
AUCCUCCGACAACCAUACAGAUAGGGCUUUCCCCUUCGGGGGACAGAGUGACAGGUGGUGCAUGGUUGUCGUCAGCUCGUGUCGUGAGAUGUUGGGUUAAGUCCCGCAACGAGCGCAACCCUUGAUUUUAGUUGCCAGCUUCAGUUGGGCACUCUAAGAUGACUGCCGGUGACAAACCGGAGGAAGGUGGGGAUGACGUCAAAUCAUCAUGCCCCUUAUGACCUGGGCUACACACGUGCUACAAUGGACGGUACAAAGGGCUGCAAGACCGCGAGGUUUAGCCAAUCCCAUCGUUCUCAGUUCGGAUUGUAGGCUGCAACUCGCUACA